rnacentral:rRNA from 1 species
UCGAGAAUCUUCCGCAAUGGACGAAAGUCUGACGGAGCGAUACCGCGUGAUGGACGAAGUGCCUCGGCACGUAAACAUCUUUUAUCAGGGACGAAAUUAUUGACGGUACCUGAAGAAUAAGGGGCUCCUAACUCUGUGCCAGCAGGAGCGGUAAUACAGAGGCCCCAAGCGUUACCCGGAAUCACUGGGCGUAAAGGGUGUCAAGGCGGUCGUAUUAGUCGUUCGUAAAAUCCGUGGGCUCAACCUACGGCUCGCGAGCGAAACGGUACGACUAGAGGGCAGGAGAGGUGCGUGGAACUCACGGUGUAGGGGUGAAAUCCGUUGAUAUCGUGGGGAACACCAAAGGCGAAGGCAGCGCACUGGCCUGUUUCUGACGCUCACACACGAAAGCUAGGGGAGC